UCCUGCCUCAGCCUCCUGAGUAGCUGGGAUUACAGGCACACAUCACCGCGCCCUGCUAAUUUUUUUUUUUUUUCUGAGAUGGAGUCUCGCUCUGUCACCCAGGCUGGAGUGCAGUGGUGCGAUUUUGGCUCACUGCAAGCUCCUCCUCCUGGGUUCACGCCAUUCUCCUGCCUCAGCCUCUCCGAGUAGCUGGGACUAUAGGUGGGCGGAUCACGAGGUCAGAAGAUCGAGACCAGCUAAUUUUUGUAUUUUUAGUAGAGACGAGGUUUCACCAUGUUGGCCAGGCUGGUCUCAAACUCCUGACCUCAGGUGAUCCACCCACCUCGGCCUCCCAAAGUGCUGGGGUUACAGGUGUGAGCCACUAUGCCUGGCCACUAUGCCGUUCUUUCAUCGGAGAAGCUGCGGUGGCUCACUCUGACUGGCUGCAUCCUCUGAGUGGACAGACCCCAUAAUCCAGCCCCACGUGGCAGCCUGUCCCUGGCAUGUGCCCUGUGCUCCCUGGGGCAUCUCCACUGCCCCCGCCUGGACCUGCAGGCUCUGCAGCUGCUCCUUCCUCAGAUACUCCUAAGGGGAUGGCCUCCCUCAUGUAAGCAAAACCUGGGAGGGUUAGAGCCCUGAGGAGCUUCCUGUGAGAUGCUCAGGUAGGCAGAGAUCAGGUUGGUGCUAGGCCAGCUGGCAUUCAGCAGGGCACAGCCAACCUGAAAGAGCCCUAAGGAGGAAAAAGCAAGUGGGACCCAAGGUGAAAAGUCUUGUUUCCCCGGGGCUCCUCACCUGAGAUUCCUAUUGUGGAAUGAUUCCUCAGAAAAUUUGGGCUCUGUUUAAAUAAUGAAGGCUGUGGUCGCUCCAUGGCUCCUGCUCACCCUUCCCUCACCUGAGGCUUAGCUUUCCUUAUGGAGUCAGCUCUGGCCAUCUCCCUCGUCCCAGCCCACACCCAACGUUCUCCUCAAUGAACUUUUCUACUGUGCUUGGCAUUCAGUGCCCUGGCCCAGUAUCCUCCGGUCUUUGUUUCACAUAUCUCGGCUGUUCUCUCCAGCGAGGCUGCAAUGUGGAAGGGGAGGGCAUUUCUGAAACCCAGGCUUUGGCAGAGUAUCCCACAUAAUGUAGAUCAUGUGCUGAUUUGCUGAGAGAAACAGAGAACUGGUCCCUGAGUCCCCGACUCCACACCUCCAGUACGACCCAUGAAUUUAUGUGGGAUGCAUCAAGGUGUCCCUCCUAGAACUGGAACCAAGACUGCUCCAUCAGAGUUAAAGGUGUAAGAUCAACACAAAAUGGGGAGUGUAUAGCUAUGCAAAGUCACCUCAGGAAAAAAUGUUCCUAGGCAGGCAGGAUGUGGCUAUAAGCCACAUGAAUGUACAGUCGUGUCACUGAAUGACAAGGUUACCCUCUGAGAAAUGUGCCGUUGGGCUGUUUCAUCAUUGUGUGAACAUCAUAGAGUGUACGUCCAUGACCCUAGAUGGUAGAGACUACUACACGCCCUAGGCUAUAUGGCAUGGCCUAUUGCUCCCAGGCUACAAACCUGUACAGCAUGCUACUGUUCUGAACGCUGCAGGCAAUUGGAACACAAUGGCCAGUAUCUAAACAUACUUAAACAUAGGAAAGGUAAUGCGUUGCACCACAUUACAAUCUCUACAACGUCACUGGGCAAUGAG
rnacentral:lncRNA from 10 species